GCGCAGGUAGCUCAAUAGGUAGAGCAAGACACUGAAAAUGUUUAGGUUGUUGGUUCAAAUCCAAUCUUGAGCA
rnacentral:tRNA from 1 species